ensembl:lncRNA
ACUUCCUACAGGUCCAGGUUUCUGAAUCCUACCCCAAUACUACCUGGAGGGCUGUUGUGUUACUAAGUGUGCAGAAUCGAUAAGAAAAUUCAUGUAAAUGCUUGCACAGUACCUGGCCAGAACUGUUAAAUCCCCUAAAAGCACAGUUGUAAUUUUUGCUGUUGCUGCUCUCUGAUCUUAUUUCUGAAGUCUGAAGUGCUAUAAUGAACGUGGUAAAAAGGAAAGCGUGCUGUGUCCUUUGGUAGUCUCAGAUAAAAAAGGUGGGGAGAGCAAGGAAGUGGAAACUGAGCUUCUCUAGGUCUCCCUCCUAAGCUAAAGCCAGAGACAAUAGUUGGGUCAGGUGUGAAGCCUUUGAGGGCCCAGCACAAGUGGGCGUGGUAUUCCUUCCUCAAUUCCUGAGUUAUAUGCCUUGUUCUGGUUAUAGCGACCAGAAUCCUUGAUGAGAGCUCAUCUCGGCUGGCCUGACUUCCUCUUGUCUCACAUUUUAUGCUGCCUCUUGCCACAUGGCAUUUGCACAUGCCAUGCCUUCUGCAUGGAGUAAUCUCACUCCCUGCAUGUAUACAUCUCAGUCAACCUUUACAAAGUCUGCCUUGAUCCCAGUCUAGUAGUUCUUCCUUCAUAGCUUUGCAGCACAGUGUGUUAGCAUGCAUUCCUCAUUGUGUUUAUUUGAUUAUGAAGGGACUCUCAUAGUUAACUCUAAGUUUCAUGUGAGAGAUCCAAACAAUUGUAUUUGUGUCUUUUCCUUUGUCUUAAGGACCAAUACAGGGCUUGACACAUAACACGGGCUUGAUGACUAUUGGUUAAGUAGCUAGGUAUAAAGACCAAUGGAUGAUAUCCACUGGAAUAAGGGACUGAACUCUUCAUUUUGUCCAAUCAUGACAGGUAAUACAAGAGAACUCAUCAAGUGCACAGAGAAGUGGAAGGAAAUUAAUUCCGGGACACCCGAGGAUACGAUCCCUGCUCCUCCUUCUGACCAUAAAUCAGCUGGCUGCCCUUUAGAGACCUUCUGUGAGAGGCAGCUGGAUGAUUGAACUUUCUCCUCCAGUAUCAUGAAGAUCCAAGGAGUUGUGAUUAGCAAGAACAGUUGUGCCUUGAAACGUACAUCACUUCCAAAUGGAAUUGGAAUGUUACAUGUUUCAUUUAUUUUGUAGUAAAAUAAUAUUUUUUUAACAAGAAGCAGUUGCCAUUCAGCUCAUUCUAGGUCUUUAUUUAUAUUUUCCUUGAGCAGAAAGCUUUUCUGUUGUAUUUUGAUUACUGUUCUUUGAUGGUGUGCCCAAGACCACAAGAUGAAAUUAGAAACUUUUUUAAAAGCCUCAUUUCAGCUUACAUUGUAGCAAAAUUCUGUAUCCUCUUACAAAUGAGUUGAACUGCCUCAUUGCCUUAUUGGCUAUCUUGUAUUGUCCUGGAUAAAGGGUCUUCUGGAAGAUGAAAAACUGCAAUGAAAAGAAGUCCCAACAAUGUUUUAUGUCUUUCACCUCUGCCAGUUUAUGAAGCAAAAAACAGAUUAUUCAUACACGCACACACACACGGACAAUAACUGCAGGUUUGGGAUAGAAGAGAAGAGAUGGGACAGAGAAAGUUUGUUUAACUAGAUAUAGCUAAAUAGAAUUGAAAACUAAAGAGGUUAUAACCACUCAAAAGUAAGAAGUCUGGGGUUCUAUUGCCCUAUAGGGUGACUAUAGGAGUUGUCAGUGAACCAUGUGUUUUUCUAUUGAAAAACCUAGAAGAUAGGUUUUUGGGAUAUUUUUAACCAUAAAGAAGUGUUAAACGUUUGAAGAGAUAAAUAUAUUUACCCUGAUUUUUUAAAGAUUUAUUUUAUUUAUUUGAAAGACAGAGUUACAGAGAGGUCUUCCAUUCCACUGGUUCACUCCCCAGAUGGCUGCAAUGGCUGGAGCUGUGCCAAUCCGAAGCGGGGAGCCAGGCACUUCUUCCAGGUCUCCCACAUGAGUGCAGGGGCCCAAGGACUUGGGCCAUCUUCUACUGCUUUCCCAGGCCAUAGCAGAGAGCUGGAUCAGAAGAGGACCAUCCAGG